rnacentral:rRNA from 1 species
AGUGAACGCUGGCGGUAGGCCUAACACAUGCGAGUCGAACGGCAGCACAGUAAGAGCUUGCUCUUACGGGUGGCGAGUGGCGGACGGGUGAGGAAUACAUCGGAAUCUACUUUUUCGUGGGGGAUAACGUAGGGAAACUUACGCUAAUACCGCAUACGACCUACGGGUGAAAGCAGGGGAUCUUCGGACCUUGCGCGAUUGAAUGAGCCGAUGUCGGAUUAGCUAGUUGGCGGGGUAAAGGCCCACCAAGGCGACGAUCCGUAGCUGGUCUGAGAGGAUGACAGCCCCACUUGGAACGGAAAACCGGCCCAACCCCCUACGGGGGGCAGCAGGGGGGAAUUUGGGAAAAGGGGCGCAAGCCUGACCCAGCCAUCCCGGGGGGGGGAAGAAGGCCUUCGGGUUGUAAAGCCCUUUUUUUGGGAAAAAAAAGCAGCAGGUUAAUCCCCCGCUGUUCUGACGGUACCAAAAAAAAAAGCACCGGCUAACUUCGU